rnacentral:ncRNA from 1 species
GAAUAAAUAAAUUUUUUAUAUUUUUUAUAAUUUAUUAUAAAUUUAUUUUACAUGUAAAUUUUAGUAUUAAAUUUUAAUUAUUUAAAUAAUAAUUAAUUUAAAUAUACAGUAAUUAAAAUUAAAAAUUUAAGAAAUUAAGAUUUAGUAAUAUUUAAAUUAAUAACUAAUUUUGUGCCAGCAGUUGCGGUUAAACAAAAGUUAAAUUAAAUUAUUUCAGUAUAUAAUAAAUAAUAAAUAAUUAAAUUAAAUAUUAAAUUAUUAAGUGAAAUUUUAAUUUAAUUAAAAAUUAUAAUAAAAUUAUGAUUUAAUAAAUUUUAUUUUAAACUAGGAUUAGAUACCCUAUUAUUAAAAAUUUAAUUAAAAAUACUAAAAUAGUAAGUAAAAUAUUAUUGAAACUUAAAUAAUAUGGCGGUAUUUUAGUUCAUUUAGAGGAAUCUGUCUAAUAAUUGAUAAUCCACGAAUAAAUUUACUUAAUUUAUAAUUUUGUAUAUCAUUGUUAAAAAAAUAUUUUUUAAUAAUAAUAAUAUUUUAAAAUUUAAAAUAAAAUUUAAUUCAGAUCAAGAUGCAGAUUAUAAUUAAGUUUAAGAUGGAUUACAAUAAAUAUAUUUAAGUGGAGAGAAUUUUGUAAAAUUUAAUUGAAAAUGGAUUUAAAUGUAAUUUUAAUUAGUUUAUUAAAAUGAUUAAAAAUUGGAAUAUGUACAUAUUGCCCGUCACUUUCAUUUUAAAAUUGAAAUAAGUCGUAACAAAGUAGAGGUACUGGAAAGUGUUUCUAGAAUGAA